GCAUAUCAAUAAGCGGAGGAAAAGAAACAAACAUGGAUUCCCCUAGUAGCGGCGAGCGAAGCGGGAUGAGCCCAGAUUUGAAAGCUCUGUCCCUAUGGAGGGUGCAGCGCAUUGUAAGCUGGAGACGUGCCUCCUGUGGCGGCACCAUGCCCAAGUCUGCUGGAAAGCAGCAUCAGAGAGGGUGAGAAUCCCGUGCUUGGUGUGGUGGCUGCUGCGUUGUGGGGUGCGCUCGACGAGUCGCGUUGUUUGGGAAUGCAGCGCAAAAUGGGUGGUAAACGCCAUCUAAGGCUAAAUAACGGGGAGAGACCGAUAGCGAACAAGUACCGUGAGGGAAAGAUGAAAAGAACUUUGGAAAGAGAGUGAAAGAGUACGUGAAAUUGCCAAAAGGGAAGCGCUGGCUGUCAGUACCGUAGCAUUGGGCGUACACCUGGUUUCUGCCAGGCCUACGCGCCCAGUGUGGGGCCCCGGCUGGUUGGCUGGUGGGGGAGAAGGCUGUUGGGAAUGUGGCUCUUGCUUUUGCAGGAGUGUUAUAGCCCUUCAGUGGAUGCCUCGCUGCCGACUGGGCGGUGCUUAAUGGCCGUCAGCGGCCCGUCUUG
rnacentral:rRNA from 1 species